rnacentral:lncRNA from 1 species
UGUAGAGCCAAACCAUACAGGUCCAUUAAAGUCUGUGCUCAGGUAUGGUACCUGUCACACACAUGUCACAUGUCACUCACAUUCCUUUGGCCAAAGCAAGCUGCAUGGUGAGCUCCAAAGAGAAGAGGAUAAAGAAAUAUAUUCUACCAACAAGAAGGAUGAUAUGAACUGAUGAGUGGAGGAAACAAAUGAGGCAGUCUCCCACUGGCUGAAUAAGAUCCUCUUUUGUUGCCAGUUCAGAGAGUCCAGGUGGUUGAAGAUCAGAUUGUUCCAUCUCAUUUCCCUUUGGCGUUGCUUUUCUUGUUUUGUGUACACAAGGAUUUAAUGCUCCAGUGACUAUGAAAAUGAGCUCUGAUUCCAAUGGCAGGAGAUCUGGGAACCAAAUCGCUUACAGUGAAUUAAUUGCACGAACCAAUGGCACUGCAAGUCUCCAGCUUUUCUGAGAAAUUCAAAACAGGCUUUGCCUGUUACCAUGCACAGUAAUGGGAGAAGGUUGUCAACCUGCAUGAUGGCGACAGUCGGCCAACUUCUGUGUGACUCUUGAAGGCUGUUGCUACCCUGAGAUGGCUCAAGAAGUGGUGGGGCCCUUUGUACACCAGUCAUCUUGGGAAUAAAGAAGGUUUUGUGGUAAG